rnacentral:rRNA from 1 species
CGUAACGAUUCUACUGGAGUUGUGGCCUGAGCCGUGGCUUCGGAGCUAACGCGUUAAGUAGACCGCCUGGGGAGUACGGUCGCAAGAUUAAAACUCAAAUGAAUUGACGGGGGCCCGCACAAGCGGUGGAGCAUGUGGUUUAAUUCGAUGCAACGCGAAGAACCUUACCUACUCUUGACAUCCAGAGAAUCCAGCGGAGACGCAGGAGUGCCUUCGGGAGCUCUGAGACAGGUGCUGCAUGGCUGUCGUCAGCUCGUGUUGUGAAAUGUUGGGUUAAGUCCCGCAACGAGCGCAACCCUUAUCCUUGUUUGCCAGCGAGUCAUGUCGGGAACUCCAGGGAGACUGCCGGUGAUAAACCGGAGGAAGGUGGGGACGACGUCAAGUCAUCAUGGCCCUUACGAGUAGGGCUACACACGUGCUACAAUGGCGCAUACAGAGGGCAGCGAGCCAGCGAUGGUAAGCGAAUCCCAAAAAGUGCGUCGUAGUCCGGAUUGGAGUCUGCAACUCGACUCCAUGAAGUCGGAAUCGCUAGUAAUCGUGAAUCAGAAUGUCACGGUGAAUACGUUCCCGGGCCUUGUACACACCGCCCGUCACACCAUGGGAGUGGGCUGCAAAAGAAGUAGGUAGUCUAACCUUCGGGAGGACGCUUACCACUUUGUGGUUCAUGAG